GUCUCUUUGGAGACAUCUUAUAAAAUUGAAACGAUACGAAGAGAAAAUUAGCAUGACCCUUGCAUAAGGAUGAAACAAAUAUGAAAGUUACAAGAGGUACAU